UUAACAGGCGGCUUUACGACCUCGAUGUUGGAUCAGGGUAUCCCAGUGGUGCAACCGCUACUAAAGGUUCGCUUGUUCAUCGAUUAAAACCCUACGUGAUCUGAGUUUAGACCGGAGAAAUCCAGGUCGGUUUCUAUCUACACUAAGCUAUUUCUAGUACGAAAGGACCAAAAUAGCAUGGCCUAUGCGAUACGCAAGCCAUUAGUUAUCCAUGAUUAACUCUUAACGGACACUACCCCCACUUCUUUUAAGAAA
rnacentral:rRNA from 1 species